CAAGAAAGAUCCAAGAACUGCUA
rnacentral:tRNA from 2 species